AACGAACGCUGGCGGCAUGCCUAACACAUGCAAGUCGAACGCCCUCUUCGGAGGGAGUGGCGCACGGGUGCGUAACGCGUGGGAACCUGCCCUUAGGUUCGGAAUAACUCAGAGAAAUUUGAGCUAAUACCGGAUAAUGUCUUCGGACCAAAGAUUUAUCGCCUUUGGAUGGGCCCGCGUUGGAUUAGCUAGUUGGUGGGGUAAAGGCCUACCAAGGCGACGAUCCAUAGCUGGUCUGAGAGGAUGAUCAGCCACACUGGGACUGAGACACGGCCCAGACUCCUACGGGAGGCAGCAGUGGGGAAUAUUGGACAAUGGGCGAAAGCCUGAUCCAGCAAUGCCGCGUGAGUGAUGAAGGCCUUAGGGUUGUAAAGCUCUUUUACUGGGGAUGAUAAUGACAGUACCUGGAGAAUAAGCCCCGGCUAACUUCGUGCCAGCAGCCGCGGUAAU
rnacentral:rRNA from 1 species